rnacentral:rRNA from 1 species
GACGUAGGUGGCGAACGUUAUCCGGAAUUAUUGGGCGUAAAGGGUGCGUAGAUGGCCUGACAAGUUAACAGUGGUAAAUCGAGGCUCAACCUCGUGGAAACUGAUAAUACUGUCUGGCUUGAGUACAGAAGAGGUUAACGGAAUUCCAUGUGGAGCGGUAAAAUGCACAGAUAUAUGGAAGAACACCAAUAACGGCGAAGGCAGUUAACUAUUCUGUUACUGACAUUGAGGCACGAAAGCGUGGGGAGCAAAACGG